CCGAACCCAAGCCCAUGUGGAUUUUCUUUUGUUUUCUUUCUGUUUUUUAAAAGAUUUUAUUUAUUUAUUUGACAGAGGGAGAGAGAAAGAGAGAGAGCAAGCACAAGCAGGGGGAACAGCAGGCAGGGGAGAAGCAGGCUCCCUGCUGAGCAAGGACCCCGAAGCGGGGCUGGAUCCCAGGACCCUGGGAUCACGACCUGAGCCGAAGGCAGACGCUUAACCGACGGAGCCACCCAGGCGUCCCCUUUAUUUUGAUAGUUUUACAUUUUAAAUUUAUCUACAAUUUUGAAUGAAUUUUGGUGUAAGUUGUAAAGCCUGUGUCUGCAUUUCACUUAAUUCCGUAUGGUUUCUAAUUAAUUGUUUCUAUUUCUGGAGAAGUCGGGGAUAAUUGGACUCCAUUUCAGUUCGAAUUUCCGAAAUGUAAUGGAUUCAGCUGGACCCCAGGACAGGUGCCUCCGCUGAACUGAGGGCACCGCAUCCUGCACUGCCCCCGCCUCCCGCAGGGGGCGCCCGAGUCCCGCUCCGAGACCCCUGCGGGGCAUGCGCGCUCAGCCCUUCUCCUCGGGGCGCGGACCGGCGUUCCAAAGCCGCAGAACCCACUGUGCUGACGCCCAGGCUUCGGGAGGACGUGGGGCCGCGUCCACGCUGACGGCAGCCGGGCCUCCUCAGGACCCGCUGUGGAGACCCCGGGAGGACGUGGGGCCGCGUCCACGCUGACAGGAGUCCGGCCUCGUCAAGACCCGCUGUGGAGACUCCGGGAGGACGUGGGGCCGCGUCCACGCUGACGGGAGUCCCGCCUCGUCAAGACCCGCUGUGGAGACUCCGGGAGGACGUGGGGCCGCAUCCACGCUGACGGGAGUCCGGGCUGCGUCAGGACCCGCUGUGGAGACUCCGGGAGGACGUGGGGCCGCGUCCACGCUGACAGGAGUCCGGCCUCGUCAGGACCCGCUGUGGAGACUCCGGGAGGACGUGGGGCCGCGUCCACGCUGACGGCAGCCGGGCCUCCUCAGGACCCGCUGUGGAGACCCCGGGAGGACGUGGGGCCGCGUCCACGCUGACGGGAGUCCGGGCCGCGUCAGGACCCGCUGUGGAGACCCCGGGAGGACGUGGGGCCGCGUCCACGCUGACGGAAGCCGGGCCUCCUCCGGAGCCGCUGUGGAGACAUCGGGAGGACGUGGGUCCGCGUCCACGCUGACAGGAGUCCGGCCUCGUCAGGACCCGCUGUGGAGACUCCGGGAGGACGUGGGGCCGCGUCCACGCUGACAGGAGUCCGGCCUCAUCAGGACCUGCUGUGGGGACUUCGGGAGGACGUGGGGCCGCGUCCACGCUGACGGGAGCCGGGCCUCCUCAGGACCCGCUGUGGAGACUCCGGGAGGACGUGGGGCCGCGUCCACGCUGACAGGAGUCCGGCCGCGUCAGGACCCCCCGGGAGUAGAAGGCCCCCAGCUGUCGUUGGCUCAGCACAUUCACCACCUCACACGGGGCGCUUGGGUGCCUUGGACCCCGAACAGGGACGCCGUCCCGCGGAACCGGCACAAGACCCUAAGUGCGGAGAUCAUCCCGGUGUCCACACUGUAACCCAGCCCGCAGGCCCGCUUCCACGGUCACCACCUGCCCCACUGUCUGAAGCGUCCUUUUCCCCUCGCGUCCGGUUUUCUUCCUCUGGAACUGCUCCCGACACGUUGCCUUAUGCGGGUAACCUUGGCGGAUGUAAAGAGCAAGCUGGUUGCAAUCUGGCCUUUCCUGUCUGGCUUCUGUCCCUGCGGCUGUUUUCAGUGUCCACCCACGCUGUGACCUGCCUCAGUCCCUCAUUCAUCUUUUCACUGUGACUAAACAUAAUAAUAUCGACCACUUACAACAUUGCAGGUGCACAGUUCUCUGGCCUCAGCCGAGUUGCGCGGUUGUCCCUCAUUCUCCAGCACUCUUUCCUUCUCCGCGAGGGGGACUCUGUGCCUGAGACGCCAGCUCCCCAUUGCCCUUCCCCUCAGCCCCUGCAGCCACAUUCUACUUCGUGUCUCAGGAUACUUCCUGUAAGUGGGAUCACACAGUGUCUGUCCUCCUGUGACUGGCUGAUUUCACUCAGCGAAGCGACUUCCAGGGUCAAUCCGCAUUGCAGCCUGUGUCAGAACUCCCUUCGUUUUUAAGGCGGAAUCGAGUUCCACACUGUAUAUGCCACAUUUUGUCUAUCCAUUCAUCCGUCAGCGGGCACUUGGGUUGCUUCCACCUUUUGGCUGUUGUGAAAAUUGCUGCUCUGAAUAAGGGUACUUGUACUUUCAGUUUUGGGGGGCAUAUAGGCUGCAGUGGAAUUCUGCGUUCAAUAUUUUGAGGAGCCACCCUAUUUUUUUCUACAAAUGAACCAUUUUUCUUCAUUCCUUCAUAGGGCAGAACAAGAUUGCCAGUUAUGGAUCUACCUCAUUUUGUUUAUCCUUUCCCCAUUGAUGGACAUUUGCAUAGUUUCUGGGUUUUGCCUAUUGUGAACACUGCUGCUACGAAUAUUUCUGUACAUUUUUGUUUGUAUCAGUGUUUUCAAUUUUGGGGGUAUACACCUAGGAGUGUAAUUUUUGAACCAUAUGGUAAUUCUACUUUGACCUAUUUGAGUAAAUGCCAAAAUAUUUUAUACGUAGACUCACCAUUUUUCACAAGCAAGGUGUAAGGGUUUCAGUUUCUCAACAUCCUUUCCAAAAUCUGUUAUUUUAGUUUUCUUGAUUAUAGCGAUUCUAUCGUGUGUAAAAGGACAUCUAACUGGUUUAAAUCUUCAUUUGCAUAAAGACUAAGGAUGCUUAACAUCUAUUCAUGUGCUGUUCACCAUUUGUAUGAUUUCUUUGGAGGAAGGUCUAUCCAAGUCUUUUGUCUAUUUUAAAAAAUGGGUCGUCUUUUUGCUGAGGAGUUGUAAAAGCUCUUUACAUACUCUGGGCAACAGACUCUUAUUAGAUAAAUAAUGUACAAAUAUUUUCUUCCAUUCUGGGGGCUUUCUUUUCACUUUCCAGAUAGUAUCUUAUGAUGUACAGAUUUUUAUUUUUUUUUACAUUUCUUUUUUAAGAGUGAGUGAGAGAGAGUGUGCAAGUGGUCAGGGGCAGAGGGAGAAGGAGAGAGAAUCUUAAGCAGGGCCCAUACUCAGUGUGGAGCCUGACAUGGUCUUGAUCUCAUGACCCUGAGAUCAUGAUCUGAGCCAAAAUUAAGAGUCGGACGCUUAACCAACUGAGCCACCCAGGCACCCAGAACAGAUUUUUAAUUUUGAGGAUAUUAUUUUAUCUAUUUUUUCCUUUCCUUUCUUAUGCUUUGGUGUCAGAUCUAAAAGCAUUGCUAGAUCCAAGCUUAUGAAGAUUUAUCCCCAUUUAUUUCUUCUAGAGUUUAUAGUUUUACCUCUUACAUUUAAGCCUUUAAUUUAUUUUGAGUUAAUGUUUAUAUGUGGUGUGAGGUAAGGGUCCAGUUUCAUCUCUCUGUACAUGGAUAGUCAAUUGUCUAGCACCCUUUGUUGAAAAGACCAUUCUCUCCCCCAGUGUAAUGUUGCCACCCUUGUCAAAAUUCAGUGGAGCAUAGAUGAAGGGGUUUAUUUCUGGGCUGUCAGUGAAAUCCCACUGAUCUGUAUGCAUAUCUUUUUAAAAAAACUAUUUUAUUUAUUUAUUUUAAAAAACGUUUUAAAUUUAAAUUCAACUAAUUAACGUAUAAUGUAUUAUUUGUUUCAGGGUGAAUGCUACCUUUAUGACAGUAUCACAAUGUUUUAUUUACUGUUGCUUUUUAUUAAUAUUUGAACUUUGGAAGUAUGACCUUUCACCUUUGAUUUUGUUUUUCAAGAUUGUUUUGUCUAUUUUGUGGUCCCUUGAAAUUCCAUAUGACUGUUAGGAUUAGCUUGUGCAUUUCUUUCCAAAGGCCUUUGUGAAUUUCCUCGGGAACACAUUGAAUUUCCACAUUGCAUUGUGUACUAUUGCCAUCUUAUCAAUAGUAUGUCUUUUCAUCACCAUGGGGUCCUCAGAUUUAUUUAGGUUUCCCUUUCUUUCAGCAAUGUUUUGUAAUUUUCAGUGUACAAGCCUUGCACCUUGAUUACAUCUAUUCCUGAGUAUUUUGUCAAUGUUAAUGUUCCCUAAAAUGGAAUUGUUUUCUUAAAUUAUUUUUUGGAUGAUUCAUGGCUAAUGUAUACAAAUAAGAGAGAUUUUUGUGUGUUGAUAUUAACUGGCUGUAAUCAUUUUUUGUUGAUUGUUUAGGAAGCUCUCUAUAUAAGAUGAUGUCAUCUCUGGUCUCUGAAUAGACGUAGUUCUACUGUUUUCUU